rnacentral:rRNA from 1 species
AUUAGAGUUUGAUCAUGGCUCAGAUUGAACGCUGGCGGCAGGCCUAACACAUGCAAGUCGAGCGGUAGAGAGAAGCUUGCUUCUCCUGAGAGCGGCGGACGGGUGAGUAAUGCCUAGGAAUCUGCCUGGUAGUGGGGGAUAACGUUUCGGAAACGGACGCUAAUACCGCAUACGUCCUACGGGAGAAAGCAGGGGACCUUCGGGCCUUGCGCUAUCAGAUGAGCCUAGGUCGGAUUAGCUAGUUGGUGGGGUAAUGGCUCACCAAGGCGACGAUCCGUAACUGGUCUGAGAGGAUGAUCAGUCACACUGGAACUGAGACACGGUCCAGACGUCCUACGGGAGGCAGCAGUGGGGAAUAUUGGACAAUGGGCGAAAGCCUGAUCCACCAUGCCGCGUGUGUGAAGAAGGUCUUCGGAUUGUAAUCACUUUAAGUUGGGAGGAAGGGCAGUUACCUAAUACGUAA